GUCACGCCCUAAACGAUGGAUGCUCGACGUGAGAGGUAUCGACCCCCCUCGUGUCGCAGCUAACGCAUUAAGCAUCCCGCCUGGGGACUACGGCCGCAAGGUUGAAACUCAAAUGAAUUGACGGGGACCCCGCACAAGCGGUGGAGCAUGUGGAUUAAUUCGAUACUAACCGAAGAACCUUACCCAGGUUUGACAUCGCGAGUAAUCCCGGGAAAUCGGGACCUCUCUCACAAGGAGACUCAAAGACAGAUGUUGCAUGGCUGUCGU
rnacentral:rRNA from 1 species